UGGUGUCCUGCAUCAUGAAGUGGUUGUUAAAUUUUGUGUGAUGAUCCGCCCAGACUAGAAGAACAGCCAGCUCCCACCAGCUCUCCUUUUUCCACUGUUUGACGCAAGUUACAAAGUCUGUUAUGGGACUUGGCUAUUCUUGGGAAAUUCCUUCCUGAUGGGAAGAACUUCAGCAGAAUUCCUCAUGAUGUCCAAAAAGGCGCUCCUACAUCUUCAAACUCCAAUCUAAACUUCACACACUU
rnacentral:lncRNA from 1 species